rnacentral:rRNA from 1 species
UGGGGAAUAUUGGACAAUGGGGGGAACCCUGAUCCAGCCAUGCCGCGUGUGUGAAGAAGGACUUAUGGUUGUAAAGCACUUUAAGCGAGGAGGAGGGUACUGGUAUUAAUACUACCAGGUACUGGACGUUACUCGCAGAAUAAGCACCGGCUAACUCUGUGCCAGCAGCCGCGGUAAUACAGAGGGUGCGAGCGUUAAUCGGAUUUACUGGGCGUAAAGCGUGCGUAGGCGGCUAAUUGAGUCGGAUGUGAAAUCCCCGAGCUUAACUUGGGAAUUGCAUUCGAUACUGGUUAGCUAGGGUGUGGGAGAGGAUGGUAGAAUGCCAGGUGUAGCGGUGAAAUGCGUAGAGAUCUGGAGGAAUACCGAUGGCGAAGGCAGCCAUCUGGCCUAACACUGACGCUGAGGUACGAAAGCAUGGGGAGCAAACAGG